rnacentral:rRNA from 1 species
GACGAACGCUGGCGGCGUGCCUAAUACAUGCCAGUUGAGCGCUGAAGGUUGGUACUUGUACCAACUGGAUGAGCAGCGAACGGGUGAGUAACGCGUGGGGAAUCUGCCUUUGAGCGGGGGACAACAUUUGGAAACGAAUGCUAAUACCGCAUAAAAACUUUAAACACAAGUUUUAAGUUUGAAAGAUGCAAUUGCAUCACUCAAAGAUGAUCCCGCGUUGUAUUAGCUAGUUGGUGAGGUAAAGGCUCACCAAGGCGAUGAUACAUAGCCGACCUGAGAGGGUGAUCGGCCACAUUGGGACUGAGACACGGCCCAAACUCCUACGGGAGGCAGCAGGAGGGAAUCUUCGGCAAUGGACGAAAGUCUGACCGAGCAACGCCGCGUGAGUGAAGAAGGGUUUCGGAUCGUAAAACUCUGUUGGUAGAGAAGAACGUUGGUGAGAGUGGAAAGCUCAUCAAGUGACGGUAACUACCCAGAAAGGGACGGCUAACUACGUG